UUAACUUACCAAAAUACGACUGAUUUGGUUAAAAUAAUUCAAGGGAGGGACUGAUUUUGUAACAUGAACAAACUAUGGGGGCUGGUAUGUAAUUUCUUGAAUAAAUGGGACUGUUUUGGAUGAUAAUUAUCAAACUAUGGGUUGUUUUUGAAUAAAUGGGAUUAUUAUUUGGGGAUUAGGACUGAUUUUGAAUAAAGGUUUAAUAGUGGGGUGUAGUUUAGGCAUUUUAAAAAGAUUUUAAAAUGGAUUAGGGUUAAAUCGCAUGCCGUCGUCUUUGUUGAACGUGCAAGGGAAGAACGUCUGCAAUCAGACCAACGAAGAGAGAGUAAAGCGAAGGCUCGUCGGUGCUGCUUCCGGUUCCUCGGUUUUCGCAGACCACGAAGAAGACCGAAGCAAGAGGAAGCUCACAGGCGGCUAAUCCGGGGGUUUUGGGGUUGAUUUCUUGCGAAGGAAGUGUUUCCGGGGAUCGACGGGGCCGGAGAGAGGGAAAGGGGAAAGCAGCGAGGAUGCUGUGGUCUCGGUCGGCUGCUAGGUUUGAAGGAGAGGGAGUGAUCGGCGACGAGAGAGUUGUCUUCGAGGUUUGACGAGGCCGCAGUGACGGAGGGAAGAGCAGCGAAGCUGCCCUCUUCUCGUCCGGCUGCGAGGUGUGAAGUCGGGCGUCGCAAGCAGCGGUAACAGCGAAGGAGUCGGGGUCCUCGGUGGGUUUGUUCGACGGAAGGGGAGGAACGGUUGUGAGGGGUGUUGCUCCGAUCGGUAACAGGGAGUGGAAGCAAGGAUUCAAUCUGUUGUGAAUUUGAUUGUGAGGAAGAACUGAAAAAACGGGUUUGGUUUUCCUUUUUUGUUGAAUCAUUUGACAGGAAAAAGAUACACGUUUCUGGAUAAUUCUUGGUGUGUGAUUGACUAUAAGUUUUUGUCAGCCUUGUAGAAUAUUAUUUCAACUAGAUAUGUGUAGUCUUAGCUUUGGUUGAAACUAGAAAGCAAUAUGAAUUGUACGAUUGCAUAUGAUAUUAGAUAUCACAUGAUUUUGAUUGAGCCUA